rnacentral:misc_RNA from 1 species
UUGGGUAGCUGACUAAAAUUUUAGAAGGUUUCGUUUUGGUAUGACUGGUUGUCUAGUUGCUCAUAACAUCUUUGAAUUGUCACACCUUGCUCACCCCAAAUUCCAACUACUAGGAAUGAGCCUUUGGUAUCCUUCUCAUCAAAGCCACUGAUUAGAUUUAUCUUUCUUGCAUUAUGUAACUAACUUCUGUAUAAUUUACAUGCUAACAGGGGAAUAAGCUACAGAAAAGGAAAAAUGAAAUCUCAUUACUAAUUACUAUUGAAUGCUACAGUUAAUUAUUGUAAAGCAUUCAUUAAAAGCAUGAGUUAAGCAUCAAGUGUAAAUGCUUCCUUCUUGGAAUCCUCCUUGUACAACUGUAGCAACUAGCAACUGCUAUCAUCUGCUCAACUUGAUACUUGAAACCAAUUUUUACUUACUGUGUAUAAUGAUACUUGGUGAUGGACACGCAAUGUCCUGUUGCUUGGAAAAUCUGCUUGUACAUACCCCAACAUUGUGUUGGUUGUGAUUGCAGCUCACUCUUUUCUCUGGGUUCG